rnacentral:misc_RNA from 1 species
GAUGAAGAACGCAGCGAAAUGCGAUAAGUAAUGUGAAUUGCAGAAUUCAGUGAAUCAUCGAAUCUUUGAACGCACAUUGCGCCCCCUGGUAUUCCGGGGGGCAUGCCUGUUCGAGCGUCAUUUCACCACUCAAGCCUCGCUUGGUAUUGGGCAACGCGGUCCGCCGCGUGCCUCAAAUCGACCGGCUGGGUCUUCUGUCCCCUAAGCGUUGUGGAAACUUUCGCUAAAGGGUGUUCGGGAGGCUACGCCGUAAAACAACCCCAUUUCUAAGGUUGACCUCGGAUCAGGUAGGGAUACCCGCUGAACUUAAGCAUAUCAAUAAGCGGAGG